CGUCUUAUAGUUAAUAUAAUAACAUCAAACUGCAAUUUUGAAAUAAAUUCAAAUUUAAGACUU
rnacentral:tRNA from 1 species